rnacentral:misc_RNA from 1 species
GAAAUGCGAUACGUAAUGUGAAUUGCAGAACUCCGUGAAUCAUCAAAUUCUUGAACGUAAAUGGCGGUGCCCAACUCUUCGGGGUUGGACACCACAUCUGUGUGAGCGUCAUUUAAAUCACAAUAUCCCGCUGCGCCCGCGUGGUGUAGCGUGCGAUGAUGUGGCGGUUCCAGCAGCCCACACAUAUGUGUGGGUGGCUGAAUCCGUUCAAGUGAGCAAGGACGCGCGUGCCACACAAUGGCUCGUCUGCGCUCCUGAUAUAGUAUUGGUUUUCCACACUGCAUCAGGAACACUAACAAACCAUGGUACGAACAACGCGAACUUGAAUGCACUCUGCCUUGCACAAGGCGGAGCCUUCAAAUAUGACCUCAUAUCAGGUGAGAAGACCCGCUGAAUUUAA